CUUGCAGGGUUUGUAUUUUGGCUCCAACCCUCACCAGCUAGAUACGUUAUAUCAUCUUUUCUCAUUUCUAUGGGUUCAUCCAGAGAAUGGGAGAAUGCAUUUUAUCUAUAUCAUAGCUUAUCGUGAGGAUCAAAUAAGUUAGUAGUAUAAGAAAGGGUAGUGAGUGCUAUGAGGAUUUGCUGGUAUUGUUUGGAUGGGUUACAUCAGUUAUGCAAAUUAGGUCAGUCCUGUAUAUUAGCUCUGUACAAAAUGAAAAAAGGCAAAGUAUAUAAAUAAAAUAGGUUGGGCAUAAUUGAUGUAUUUUCUUAAGGUCUAAUAUAAUGUUCAUGUAAAUGAUACUACUACAGGCUUUUUUAAAUUGCCAUUCUCAAUUUCAUGACUGUUAGUGUGCGGGAUUGAGUCCUGUGAGUUGACAAAUUAUUUUUAAGGUGAUGAAGGUACAUCUGUACGCUGAGCAUUUUUAGGUGGGCAUGAAUAAUCUUUUAGUGAUCUUGCUUGUCACUGUAUCUGCAACAUAUAUCUGGUUUUUAUAUA